AACGCUAGCUACAGGCUUAACACAUGCAAGUCGAGGGGCAGCAUGGUCUUAGCUUGCUAAGGCCGAUGGCGACCGGCGCACGGGUGAGUAACACGUAUCCAACCUGCCGUCUACUCUUGGACAGCCUUCUGAAAGGAAGAUUAAUACAAGAUGGCAUCAUGAGUUCACAUGUUCACAUGAUUAAAGGUAUUCCGGUAGACGAUGGGGAUGCGUUCCAUUAGAUAGUAGGCGGGGUAACGGCCCACCUAGUCUUCGAUGGAUAGGGGUUCUGAGAGGAAGGUCCCCCACACUGGAACUGAGACACGGUCCAGACUCCUACGGGAGGCAGCAGUGAGGAAUAUUGGUCAAUGGUCGGAAGACUGAACCAGCCAAGUAGCGUGAAGGAUGAAGGUUCUAUGGAUUGUAAACUUCUUUUAUACGGGAAUAAAACCACCUACGUGUAGGUGCUUGUAUGUACCGUAUGAAUAAGCAUCGGCUAACUCCGUGCCAGCAGCCGCGGUAAUACGGAGGAUGCGAGCGUUAUCCGGAUUUAUUGGGUUUAAAGGGAGCGUAGACGGGAUGUUAAGUCAGUUGUGAAAGGCUGCGGCUCAACCGCAGCACUGCAGUUGAUACUGGCGUCCUUGAGUCCGUUUGAGGUAUGUGGAAUUCGUGGUGUAGCGGUGAAAUGCUUAGAUAUCACGAAGAACUCCGAUUG
rnacentral:rRNA from 1 species